GCUGCCAAGAAGAUGGAGACUCCCUGUUUGCAAGGAGUCACAUGGAAAAGACAAGAGCUAAUGGGCACAGGUUGCUCCUGGGGAGAUUCUGAUUGGACACAAGAUAAUUGGAGGUAAACAGGAUUGAAAAGGACAUCCCAACCCAGUGCUGCUCUAUCUAGGUACCUAUACUGGAAGCAUUUCUACAGCUCACUAGAUGUCUACCAGGCCAGACAGAGCUUGGGGCUGCUUAAUAAUCCCAACUGCACCACCAUCUGUUGCUAUAUAAGUUCCUGUAAUGUUUGGCUUCUAUCCUGCAUGGGAACCCAGUAUCCUUAAACUCCACUGGAACUGAUGUGAACAAAGACGGGAGGCAACUUCUCAGUAAGUGUCUCAGAGGUGACUCCGGGUGAGCUGGUUCUGGGCUCUGCUCUUUGCAAGGCCUGGCAUAUUUUUCCUGAGGGCUUUGCCGGACAAGCAUCAACUCAUCUCUCUAAAGCAAGCUUUUGAGGGAGUUCUUCAGCCUGGAAAACCUGUCUCCUUCUUCAUUUCUAUGAAGACAUGGGAGAAAAUCCGUCCAGCUCGCUCCAUGGAGGUGGAGGCUGCACACCUAAAAUGGCCGCCGUCGAGCAGGGCAGGUUUUGCGCCAACAGCCCCGGUGUGUCAGCCUGAUAGGAUCAGGCAGGAUAAAGCGCAUGAAGAAACAGAAGCACUCCGCUCAGUAAAGUUGCUACAGGAGGCUGCUGCAAGAGGGAAAAGCUGUUGCUCUCCUGUCUGGCUGAAUGUCUGUUAUUCACAGUAGAGAAAACACAACCCCUGAAGGAAGAAGUGCAGCAGACAACAAACUAGCAGAAUACAGAAGGGCCUGGAUGUGUGGAAUCCCUGGAGCUGUAACAAUAAAGACCUGGUGAAGACCUGUAGAACUGGCUGAAGGGGAAUUACUAGG